AUUCCCCCAGUAAGGGCGACUGAAAAGGGAAGAGCUCACCGUGUAAAUCUGCGUAUACCGUGCAAGCGGACGCGCCGAAUUGUGGUCUGGAGAGGCAUUGUCGAUCGCGGUCCCGGGCCAAGUCCCUUGGAAAAGGGCAGCUGAGAGGGUGAAACUCCCGUUCUUGCCUGGGAUUUGCGUGUCAUGGCUCAUGCACUCAAAGAGUCGAGUUGCUUGGGAUUGCAGCUCAAAGUGGGUGGUAAAUUCCAUCUAAAGCUAAAUAUUGGUGGGAGACCGAUAGCGCACAAGUACCGUGAGGGAAAGAUGCAAAGAACUUUGAAAAGAGAGUUAAAGAGUACCUGAAAUUGCUGAAAGGGAAGCGAAGGAAACCAGUGCGUAGUGCGCGUCAUAUUUCUCCUGCUGCUUGCGGCGGGGGCGCUGUGGCCGUGCGUAGCGUCAGCAUCGGUUCGUACUUCGGAACAUACGGCGCUGCGGAAGGUAGUCCCAUCUCGGGAUGAAGACCGCGGUGCAGUGGUUCUGGAGGGGACCGAGGUUAGUCACAAGCUCGUGAUGCUGAC
rnacentral:rRNA from 1 species